UUAUUACUCAAUGUAACUAUAACAAUUGACCUUGGAAUAAAUGAUGAAUAUUGACAUACUACCAAAAGUAAACAAUCUAACACUUGCUUUGAUACUAAUGAAAUAGGACCAAACUAUCUCAAAAACUCAAGAUCCUUCUAAACCACAGCAACAUAAAGCCUCAUCACAAAAUAGGACAAAAUAGAUCAAAUCAAAACUAAAUGGAAUCAAAUAGAAUAAGACAUGAAAGACAAAUCUAAGCAAAUAGAAACCAAAUAAAAUAGAAUUGAACAGAAAGAUGCAAAACCAAUUUUUACUAAGAAAAAAGGUCCAAAGCCAGAUCUAACCAAAUGCCCCAAAAGGCCCUGACUAGUCCUAUUUAUAUCUUAUCCUACCACCUAGGGCUUUUUAGAUUGUUCGUAGGUAGUAGGCUCCACCUAAAUAACUGCCUUAAAUUUCUUUUUUAAAAGAUUCUAUGAUAGGCCCCAUCUCAAUAAUGGCCCUAAAUUCUUCUUAGAAUGUUCUACAGUUGAUCCUACUUAAUUCGCUAACCUAACUCCAAUUCUAUAAACUUCCUUGCUUCUAACUAUCUAUACAAUUAUCUUAUCUAUAUCCUAUUACAAAGAAUUUGACAUAGAAAUAUCUCAAGAUUAAAG
rnacentral:lncRNA from 1 species